AUGGAGGAGUUGUGGAAGGACAUGUCCCUGCCUUCCACCCCGGCCGCGCCGCAGUGGUGCCACAUCCGCUCUCCAGCCGCCGCCGUCUACCCCCAGGACUACCUCGCCGGCCCGGUGCCACUGCGGCGGGGGCCUCCUUACACGGCGCUCACCCUCAGCUCCUCCGUCGAGUUCACCUUCCACGGCGGUGGUUCUGGUUCCGGUACGCCCUCCGGCUCCAGCCCCUGCAAUGACUACCCCUUUGGCUUCCCCUCUGUCUCCGGAGCCAACAGCAGCAACAACAACAGCAAGAGGGUGCAGGUCGAUGCUCCGGCGGCGGCCGACCGUCAGCGCCGGAUGAUCAAGAACCGGGAGUCGGCGGCCCGGUCGCGGGCGCGGAAGCAGGCCUACACCAACGAGCUGGAGAUGGAGCUGGCGCAGCUGCGCAGGGAGAACCAGAUGCUCAUCAAGCGCGAGCAGGACUUCAUCAAAGAACGUUCGGCGACGGCGGCGCAGGCGGCAGUCGUCCCCGACAGCAGCAGCGGCGGCGGCGGCGGCAGGAGCAGGUCCACUCUCCACUUCGAGCUCGAGCAGAGGCAGAGGUGCCGCUCCGCCCCUGCGCCAUGA
rnacentral:rRNA from 1 species